UUAGCCAGCAGCAGCAGUGGGUGCAUGCCUGCUGUUGCUUCGGUUGCUUUAUUUGAACGGUUCCUCCUUUUGUUGGCUUUUCUUCCCAGCAGUCACUUGCGCUUUGUCUUUUCAGGAUCCAAGCUGCUGAGGUGGGGUUGCUUUGUACGACUCUACAGCUCCAAGGACCUUUAGUUACUGGACUAUAAAUAAUAUCUUCUUCUGUAUUCUCUGUGAUGUGUAGGAAAGACUGUGUAAGUCUUGAGGUGAUGUUAUCUAAGCCAAUGAGAUCUUAAGGGCAACCUUAAGGGGAAAAAAAGGUUUGAUCCGUGAGCUGCAAGUCACCUCUGGAGUCAGCAGUGAUACAAGAGCAUACAGCUAAAAAAAUGUGAAAUCAGCAUGAAGGCUGAAGUACUGUUUUCUUAAGGCACUUUUGGAACUGGCAAAAGGUGGAACUUUCUCAAAGUUGUUAAACCUCCUCAAAGUUGUUGAAAUGGAAUGGUGCCCGCUAUGUAGAGUAAUCACGGGAGACGCUGCUCGUUUCUCAUCAAGAAAAGUGCUUUUUAAUGUGUACUUUACAGCAAGUUCCUCUUCAAGCUUAUGGAGACACUGGGCUGGGCUGGUGAGACAUGCUAGCCUGGAGCGCAGCAGUG
rnacentral:lncRNA from 1 species